rnacentral:rRNA from 1 species
AACGAACGCUGGCGGCAGGCCUAACACAUGCAAGUCGAACGCCGUAGCAAUACGGAGUGGCAGACGGGUGAGUAACGCGUGGGUGACCUGCCCUCAGCUCUGGGAUAAGCCUGGGAAACCGGGUCUAAUACCGGAUAUGACUCCAUGACGCAUGUUGUGGGGUGGAAAGCCUUGUGCGGCUGAGGAGUGGGCCCGCGGCCUAUCAGCUUGUUGGUGGGGUGAGUGGCCUACCAAGGCGACGACGGGUAGCCGGCCUGAGAGGGCGACCGGCCACACUGGGACUGAGACACGGCCCAGACUCCUACGGGAGGCGAGCAGUGGGGAAUCGUUGCGCAAUGGGCGAAAGCCUGACGCAGCGACGCCGCGUGAGGGAUGAC